rnacentral:rRNA from 1 species
UACGGUUACCUUGUUACGACUUCAGGACAAACGCUGGCGGCGUGCUUAACACAUGCAAGUCGAACGAUGAAGCCCUACUUGCUGGGUGAAUUAGUGGCGAACGGGUGAGUAACACGUGGGUGACCCGCCCUGCACUCUGGGAUAAGCCUGGGAAACUGGGUCUAAUACCGGAUAGGACCUUCGGCCGCAUGGCUGGGGGUGGAAAGUUUUCCGGUGCACGAUGAGCCCGCUGCCUAUCAGCUUGUUGGUGGGGUAAUGGCAUACCAAGGCGACGACGGGUAGCCGGCCUGAGAGGGCGACCGGCCACACUGGGACUGAGACACGGCCCAGACUCCUACGGGUGGCAGCAGUGGGGAAUAUUGCACAAUGGGCGCAAGCCUGAUGCAGCGACGCCGCGUGAGGGAUGACGGCCUUCGGGUUGUAAACCUCUUUCACCCAUGACGAAGCGCAAGUGACGGUAGUGGGAGAAGAAGCACCUGCCAACUACGUUCCAGCAGCCGCGGCACUACGUAGGGUGCGAGCGUUGUCCGGAAUUACUGGGCGUAAAGAGGUCGUAGGCGGUUUGUCGCGUCGUCUGUGAAAACCCGCCGCUCAACUGCGGGCUUGCAGGCGAUACGGGCAGACUCGAGUACUGCGGGGGAGACUGGAAUUCCUGGUGUAGCGGUGAAAUGCGCAGAUAUCAGGAGGAACACCGGUGGCGAAGGCGGGUCUCUGGGCAGUAACUGACGCUGAGGAGGGAAAGCGUGGGUAGCGAACAGGAUUAGAUACCCUGGUAGUCCACGCCGUAAACGGUGGGCGCUAGGUGUGGGUUUCCUUCCGCGGGAUCCGUGCCGUAGCCAACGCAUUAAGCGCCCCGCCUGGGGAGUACGGCCGCAAGGCUAAUACUCAAAGGAAUUGACGGGGGCCCGCACAAGCGGCGGAGCAUGUGGAUUAAUUCGAUGCGACGUGAAGAACCUUACCUGGGUUUGACAUGUACCGGACGACCGCAGAGAUGUGGUUUCCCUUGUGGCCGGUAGACAGGUGGUGCAUGGCUGUCGUCAGCUCGUGUCGCGAGGUGUUGGGUUAAGUCCCGCAACGAGCGCAACCCUUGCCAUUAGUUGCUACAUUCAGUUGGGCACUCUAAUGGGACUGCCGGUGACAAACCGGCGGAAGGUGUGCAUGACGUCAAGUCCUCAUGGCCCGUAUGGGUAGGGCUUCACACGUCAUACAAUGGCCGGGACAGAGGGUUGCCAAGCCGCGAGGUGGAGCCAAUCUCAGAAACCCGAUCGUAGUCCGGAUCGCAGUCUGCAACUCGACUGCGUGAAGCCACAAUCGCUAGUAACCGUGGAUCAGCAUGUCGCGGUGAAUACGUUCCCAGGUCUUGUACACACCGCCCGUCACACCAUGGGAGUGGGUUUCACCCGAAGUAGGUCGCCUACCCGUAAGGGGGGCGCUUACCACGGUGAGAUUCAUGACUGGCGUGAAGUCUGAGCCAGGAUCAAACUCU